rnacentral:rRNA from 1 species
CAGUCGCCACGGUAAUACGAGGGGGGGCAAGCGUUGUUCGGAAUUAUUGGGCGUAAAGGGUGCGUAGGCGGUUCGGCAAGUUUGGUGUGAAAUCUUCGGGCUCAACUCGAAGUCUGCAUCGAAAACUGCCGGGCUUGAGUAUGGGAGAGGUGAGUGGAAUUUCCGGUGUAGCGGUGAAAUGCGUAGAUAUCGGAAGGAACACCUGUGGCGAGAGCGGCUCACUGGACCAUUACUGACGCUGAGGCGCGAAAGCUAGGGGAGCAAACAGGAUUAGAUACCCCAGUAGUCCCUGUCUCUUAUA